UAUGUCCCUAGAAUUAGCAAUGUGUCAGCCAGAUUGGCUUCUAGGGCAUACAUCUAACAAUGCUCUAGGGGCGGAGUAUAUCUGUGAGGACCAGCCCACACACAGUGGACUAAUGGGCCAAGCCCAACGUGGCUGGCCCAUCUGAAAAUCCAAGUAGCCUUUCAUGAAGAAGAUGGAGGCGGUAAUCGCCAACUGUCCGGCGGUUACAACCGCCUGAUAGCCACGAUCACCACCACUCUUCCCCCUUCCCACCGAGUGCUAUAAGAACUAGGGGCUCUUCUCACGAAUGUUUCAUUCCUCACCUCUCACUACCCCUCACUCGCUUUUUCUCCUGCUACAAGGAACUGAAGAGUAGGGAUCUGAGCCGCCGGAGGGAACAUCACAGGGUCGUUCUGGAACUAGGUAUUGGAGAAUUGGCAUUUCGUGAGCAAAUUAAGAUGAAUAGGAGAUACUAGAAACAAGGAGCGCGACGUGCUUUAGGGAUAUGGGAAAAGAAAAUAAAAUAUUAAAUGUUGCUAUUUUUAGAUGCUUUGUAAUCAAUCUUUUACUGAUGAAAUACUUGAUGACAUUCAAGAAUAUAGUUGUUCAUAAUUGAUUUGAAGUUUUAAAGUGGCUGCGUGUUAUUGUAUACUUAACUUAGCAAUAGCACAGCCGUGUCAUGAUCCGAAUUCGGGGCGUGACAAUAUCCAUCUGGAGGGCGACUCGGCUGCGGCGGUCGAGAAAAUUCGGAGGCGACUCUCCAAGUCGGAUGGGCACUCCAUGCUUUGCGAUAUAUGGAGGCUGGCAGGGGAUUGCAGGUCAUUCAGAGCCACGCAUGUAUAUCGGAAGGCUAAUUCAGCUGCUGAUUGGGUGACAUCCUAUGCCUUGCAGCACUCUGGAAAUUUUAUUUGGGUGAACCAGGUGGAUGUUCCUCAUCCGCUGAGCCAGCUUCUUUUUUUUUGUUUUCUCGGUUGUACUUAUCUAUGUUUGGUGUGAGGAGCCAGUGUAUCAAAAAAAAAAAAAAGUAUUCUCAGCCAAGAUGACUUAUUACUGGUUUAUACCUAAUGCAUGAAAGAAGAAAGUUCUAUUUUAUGCACCAUUACAUUUAGUUCUAUGCACCAUUACAUUUAGUUCUAUGCUCUCAAAUUAGUUGGCUACAAGUAUAUUUGGAGGCACUGUA